GACGAACGCUGGCGGCGUGCCUAAUACAUGCAAGUCGAACGGAAAGGGCCGGUUCUUGUAGGGUGCGCGAGUGGCGAACGCGGGAGAAACACGCGAGUAACAUGUCCUUGAGAUUGGGGUAAAACCAGUAAAAAGGGGUUAAAAUACGACAGAAACUCUUGAAGCACGGGGGGGGUGGGAGAGAUUCGGCGGUUCGGGAUGGACUCGCGGCUUAUCAGCUUGUUGGUGGGGUGGUGGCUUACCAAGGCUUUGACGGGUAGCCGGCCUGAGAGGGUGACCGGCCACAUUGGGACUGAGAUACGGCCCAGACUCCUACGGGAGGCAGCAGUGGGGAAUAUUGCACAAUGGGCGGAAGCCUGAUGCAGCAACGCCGCGUGCGGGAUGACGGCCUUCGGGUUGUAAACCGCUUUCGCCUGUGACGAAGCGUGAGUGACGGUAAUGGGUAAAGAAGCACCGGCUAACUACGUG
rnacentral:rRNA from 1 species